UAAGGAAUCUUCCACAAUGGGCGAAAGCCUGAUGGAGCAACGCCGCGUGCAGGAUGAAGGCCCUCGGGUCGUAAACUGCUUUUAUAAGUGAAGAAUAUGACGGUAACUUAUGAAUAAGCACCGGCUAACUACGUGCCAGCAGCCGCGGUCAUACGUAGGGUGCAAGCAUUAUCCGGAGUGACUGGGCGUAAAGAGUUGCGUAGGUGGUUUAUUAAGUGAAUAGUGAAAGCUGGAGGCUCAACCUUACAGACUAUUAUUCAAACUGGUAAACUCGAGAGUGGUAGAGGUAACUGGAAUUUCUUGUGUAGGAGUGAAAUCCGUAGAUAUAAGAAGGAACACCAAUGGCGUAGGCAGGUUACUGGACCAUCUCUGACACUGAGGCACGAAAGCGUGGGGAGCGAACCGG
rnacentral:rRNA from 1 species